GACGAACGCUGGUGGCGUGCCUAAUACAUGCAAGUCGAGCGGACCAAUAGAAGCUUGCUUCUGUUGGUUAGCGGCGGACGGGUGAGUAACACGUGGGCAACCUGCCUGUAAGACUGGGAUAACUUCGGGAAACCGGAGCUAAUACCGGAUAAUGCAUCCCCUCGCAUGAGGGGAUGCGGAAAGUCGGUUUACGCUGACGCUUACAGAUGGGCCCGCGGCGCAUUAGCGAGUUGGUGAGGUAAUGGCUCACCAAGGCGACGAUGCGUAGCCGACCUGAGAGGGUGAUCGGCCACACUGGGACUGAGACACGGCCCAGACUCCUACGGGAGGCAGCAGUAGGGAAUCUUCCACAAUGGACGAAAGUCUGAUGGAGCAACGCCGCGUGAGCGGUGAAGGCCUUCGGGUCGUAAAGCUCUGUUGUUAGGGAAGAACAAGUAUCGGAGUAACUGCCGGUACCUUGACGGUACCUAACCAGAAAGCCACGGCUAACUACGUGCCAGCCGCCGCAGUAA
rnacentral:rRNA from 1 species